UACAGAGGUCUCAAGCGUUGUUCGGAUUCAUUGGGCGUAAAGGGUGCGUAGGCGGCGCGGUAAGUCGGGUGUGAAAUUUCGAGGCUUAACUUCGAAACUGCAUUCGAUACUGCCGUGCUAGAGGACUGGAGAGGAGACUGGAAUUUACGGUGUAGCGGUGAAAUGCGUUGAUAUCAGGAGGAACACCGGUGGCGAAGGCGGGGUCUCUGGGCCGUAACUGACGCU
rnacentral:rRNA from 1 species